rnacentral:rRNA from 1 species
GUGCCAGCAGCCGCGGUAAUACGUAGGGUGCAAGCGUUAUCCGGAUUUAUUGGGCGUAAAGGGCUCGUAGGCGGUUCGUCGCGUCCGGUGUGAAAGUCCAUCGCUUAACGGUGGAUCCGCGCCGGGUACGGGCGGGCUUGAGUGCGGUAGGGGAGACUGGAAUUCCCGGUGUAACGGUGGAAUGUGUAGAUAUCGGGAAGAACACCAAUGGCGAAGGCAGGUCUCUGGGCCGUUACUGACGCUGAGGAGCGAAAGCUAGGGUCUCGAACCGGAUUAGAUACCCCUGUAGUCC